AAUAAAGAGAGGGGGAGAGGAGUCGACAAAAACAACAACAACAAAAAAAAGAAGCAAAAGACAAUCGCCUUUUAUGCCAUCAGAUCGAAAGGAUAAUAAAGCAAUCCAAAUACUUACAUAGCCAUCAUGUUAUACGAUAAAUUAUUAUAUGUGAUAAGAAAUAGUUCAGAAGUUGGAGAAUAAAAAGGUAGACGAAUUAGAGUUCGAGCAGAAAAAGAAGGGAUGAAAAGUUGAAUUCGGGUCAACAAUCAUACCAAAUCGUCCUAAUCUUUAUAGGUUAUGAUUAUCACUUAAUCAAGGUGUUGGAAGCAUGGACCAAGAUCCCACAUAUUGCAAUAUGUCUUCAAAAGGUAUGUAAAGCGGCUCUAAAAAGGGGCAUGGAAAGAUUAUUUCAUAUGGCUAACGGUGUAGCUCGAUGGAUGGGUAAUAGGCAUUUCUUGAAUCCUUCUUUGAUAUCCAUGUUCGUCCUAUUGUGCAACCAAUAAAGUUUCACAACAAAUAUAAUGUUUGUAUAGUCAUUUUUGAAACAAUCAAUAUAUAUUGGUCAUGUAAAUUGUUUCGGUUUAUGAGUUUUGCAAAAGCUGAAACAUUUUCAUUAUACAUAUAUAUAUAAAUAGAAUAUGUAAAGUUUGGUUAAA